AGGGGAUCCUUGGCCCCACUGUGCACCACACACUCCUUUCCCAGCCCAGGGGCACGCGAACAAAAUGAGGCUCAAGCUGACCAGGCCGAGCCGGAGGAACGCUGGGGCUUGGCAGCAGAAGGGAUGGGACCAGAGAGAAGGGUGUGGAGGAGACCCCAGUGAGGGCCAGGACAUUUCAGGUAAAGAGAGGUCAUAUCUCCGUACCUCACUUCCUGACACAAACAAGUUUUCACUGUUGUCAGCAACAAAGCCCUAAUAUAGCUGCGGAAGAGAAAAACUGCAUUGCAUUUUGCCUCCUGCAAGCAUCAUCAACAGUUACUGGAGGAACGUAAUUCCAGAAAGCUUGAAAGCCGUGGUGAUGGUAAUUAUGUAUCAAAUGCCUGGUUCUAUUUCUGUUAUUAUUGUUUUGUCAUUUCUGUUUUCCCAGCGAUCUGACUGAACUCGCAGAGGGACAAAUCCAGUUUUUCUUUUUGACUUUUGUCAAACUAAAUCAGGCCUGAUAGAAAACUCAUUGCUCUCCGGGGAAACAAAGUAGGAGCCACGAAAUGUCAUUUUAACAGAGCGUGGGUUUGGUGACUGUAGGAAAGGAUUUGAGGACGCUCCUUCUGUUCGGCUUCCUAUGUCAUGAGCACAGGCUCCACGCACGCACAGACACCACGGCUCCCGGAUGCUGUGGCUCCCCGAUCGGGGCUCCUGCAGCGCCAGAAGCCCCUCCGGGAUGCUUCGAGGGGCUCCCGGUGGGUGGAGGUACGGACGCCGCUGCGGCCGCCGCCGCCAGUCCUGCUGCUGUUGUUGCUGCUGCAGUCACGUGGGAGCCCCUUUAAGUUUCCAUAGAGAGGCCUCUCUGGUGUCACAUGAUGGACAUGAUAUAAUGAAACAACAUUGUGGAGAGGAAAGCAUUAGGGGAGCCCACGGCUACAAAAACAAGUGAGUGAGAAGAGGUGGGAGGAAGAGAAACUACGCCACCUCCCCUGCAGCCGAGUGCACGCAGCAGCCUGGCGUGACAAGUGGGCGACGCCGGGGGGCAGGGAGCCGGGGUCCUUGGCCCUGGCCGGGGACCCCACCGCCCACCGCGCGGAGGACAACUUUUAGCCGGCAGCCCAGACCAGCGCGGCACCUGUCUCCGGAGUCUCCACCGCUCCUCCCGAUUCAUCCCAGGGAAAUUCUCAAGAAUACGCUCUACAAAUCUACGUGCGCAUCAUUUUCACCUCGCGUCGCGCCCGGGAGGAAGGAACGAGGCAAGGAGCUAAAGCAGCGUGCGUUCAGCCCUGGGGCAUUUUAUUAAUGCUUUUACGAGUUAGAAGAGUUGGGAUAAUUUGCCAUCUGGAGUUUCUCUGCCUUGCUGAUCUGAGCUCAGACCUGCCAAUUUACCAGAGAUAAUUGAUAACACCCUGUAACAGCUGAGAGGAAAAUGGAAGAAACGGAGAUACUUUUAGUGAAGCAGAAUAAACCACUGAACAGCGUUGGCUGAAAAACAUAAGGGAAAAAUGAGGAAGCUGUGAGUACCAGUGGAAGGAACGAGCCAGGAAGAGGGACUGGAACCAUCUCAGAAGCCAUGCCCCUCAGGCUGGAACUUGCCCUGUCUCCUCGCAGAUGAGGUGCAGGUCUUCUGAACAAAUGCCUCCUGAGGAUUUCUGUGCCUGGAAAAUAUCUGUUAACAGACUGCUUUUACACCUACCUAUUUGGUGCUACUUCUACUCCUCAUGACCAAAGCUGGCUUUCAUGGUUUACUCAUGUACUUACUGAUGAAACCCUGAGACUUGGGGCCAGUGACUGUUCAGAGGUCCAUGUGAAGAUGCGCUGAAUGGUAUAAAGGACAGAGCAGUAAAGAGUGCUGGCUGAAUGCCUGGGCUGGCAAUCAGGCAUGUUGGAGUUUGAGUCCCAGUCUGCCACUCCAGCUCUGUGACCAAGAGGAAGUGAAGUCAUGUACCCUUUCUAAGUCUCUAGCCCCUCUUCUGAAAGACGAAGAUGCCACCACCAACCAUGUUAGUGGUUGUGAAUGCCAAGAAAGUCCAUGUGAAGCACAUAGCAUAGUGUCUGCCAUGCGUUAAGUGUUCCAAAAAUGGAAGCUAUGACUAUUUCACAGAGUACACUUCCCAUCACUUUUCAGUUCAUUUUGGCCUUCUCCCUCAAAAGCACUCCAGUGUUCUGAUCCAGCUGAUAAAACACCAAACAUUCACAUAGUGCUUUAAAAGUGACCCACUGUUUUUACAGACUGCAUUACAUAUGACCCUAACAACCACUGCAAUAUAGAAAUUCGCAUCUCCAUUCUCCAGAUCAGGAUACCGAAGCUCAGAAAAAUUAAAUGAUUUGCCCAGGAUCACAUAGUUAGUAAGCAGCCCAGCCAGAUCCUGUGUUAACUUGUUCAUCCGCUUCCUAUAAGAAAACAUCCAUUCAAGGCACAUGGGGCAACAAAGAAGGACUUAGAGCUGUGUGGCCCCUCGUCAGGGCAGUACCAGUUGCACCCAUAGUCCGGCCUGAAUACUCAGCUUAGGACUAUUGUGUCCAAUGUCCCAAACAUUUUGAAGCUACAUCUUAAAGAAGUGUCCUGCUCAGAUGCAGUUCUCCUUGUGAAAUCCGCAGGCCCCAAGGAAAGUGACUUUAAUCCAGUUUGCUCAUGCAAGAACAGACUGGCAUUUCACAUCCAGGAAAACAAUGGAUUUGUACUGUUCAGCUUUUGCCAUGCAAGGAGUUCCUGGUGUGGUUUAUUAAUUUACAUCUCAGGCUCCAGCUUCACUAUCAAUCAGAUUUGGAAGAAAAAAGUUACAAAGAAAGGCAGCUUGCUGAGAAACAGCGGAAGCAUGACGGUACAGACUGGGUUUUGAAAUGGAGACACAUUCUCAUGGCUUGUGGGCUGAGAGACACUGAGAAAGGAUUUUGUUCUUGAAAGAUGAUUGUUUUAAUGCUGGAGAUGGAGAGUUUUGACAAUUUUAAGUGCAUGUUCUGUGUGUAAGAAAGAGUCAUUACGUUUUUUUUUUCUUUCAGAUGUUGCCAUGCCUUAAAAUUGCUGAUGAUUAAAAUAGAACAUCCUGAGUUACAGAAAUUCAGCCCUAGUGUAUCCUGGCCUAAAAAUACAGAACAAUCAAGUUGAUUGUUGGAAAUGAGAGGCUAGGCAGGGUUGGAAACAUGCUAAUGUUUACUGAGUGAAAUCUUUCCUUCUCAGUAGAGUUGCCCUUGCAGCUGAAAGUCACUGAAAGACUCAACAAAAUAAGCAGAUCCCACUUGUCUCACUCUGUUCUCCUAUGCAUGCCCUGGAAAGAGAAUGAAUGAGCCCUUUUUAAUUUAUCAACUGGUUUUCUUCCAUCUCUUUACUAGUGAGCCAUGGGGGUUUUUUGCCGUUAACUGGGUAGCCAGUCUCUUCAUGGAGACUUAUUUUCAGGAAACUAGCCUCUUGCUUUAUGUGAAAACAAGGACCCAACUCAA
rnacentral:lncRNA from 1 species